rnacentral:rRNA from 1 species
GGAGGAUCCGAGCGUUAUCCGGAUUUAUUGGGUUUUAAGGGGGCGUAGGCGGACGCUUAAGUCAGUUGUGAAAGUUUGCGGCUCAACCGUAAAAUUGCAGUUGAUACUGGGUGUCUUGAGUACAGUAGAGGCAGGCGGAAUUCGUGGUGUAGCGGUGAAAUGCUUAGAUAUCACGAAGAACUCCGAUUGCGAAGGCAGCCUGCUAAGCUGCAACUGACAUUGAGGCUCGAAAGUGUGGGUAUCAAACAGGAUUAGAUACCCUGGUAGUCCACACGGUAAACGAUGAAUACUCGCUGUUUGCGAUAUACUGCAAGCGGCCAAGCGAAAGCGUUAAGUAUUCCACCUGGGGAGUACGCCGGCAACGGUGAAACUCAAAGGAAUUGACGG